CCUGAGAGGUGAUGCGUAGCCGAUUGAGGCGAAUUCAGUGAUCCUAUGCUGCCGAGAAAAGCCUCUAGUGAGUUGGUACACGGCCCGUACCCCAAACCGACACAGGUGGUCAGGUAGAGAAUACCGAGGCGAUCGAGAGAACUGUGGUUAAGGAACUCGGCAAAAUGCCCCCGUAACUUCGGGAGAAGGGGGACCCGGGCUGGUGAACACCCUUGCGGUGGGAGCUGGUCGGGGUCGCAGAGACCAGAGAGAAGCGACUGUUUACUAAAAACACAGGUCCGUGCGAAGUCGUAAGACGAUGUAUACGGACUGACGCCUGCCCGGUGCCGGAAGGUUAAGAGGACCGGUUAGCGCUUCGGCGCGAAGCUGAGAAUUUAAGCCCCGGUAAACGGCGGUGGUAACUAUAACCAUCCUAAGGUAGCGAAAUUCCUUGUCGGGUAAGUUCCGACCUGCACGAAUGGCGUAACGACUUCUCUGCUGUCUCAACCACAGACUCGGCGAAAUUGCAUUACGAGUAAAGAUGCUCGUUACGCGCGGCAGGACGAAAAGACCCCGGGACCUUCACUAUAGCUUGGUAUUGGUGUUCGGUACGGUUUGUGUAGGAUAGGUGGGAGACUGUGAAAGCGGCACGCUAGUGUCGUGGGAGUCGUCGUUGAAAUACCACUCUGAUCGUAUUGGACCUCUAACCUCGGACCCUGAUCGGGUUCAGGGACAGUGCCUGGUGGGUAGUUUAACUGGGGCGGUUGCCUCCUAAAAUGUAACGGAGGCGCCCAAAGGUUCCCUCAGCCUGGUUGGCAAUCAGGUGUCGAGUGCAAGUGCACAAGGGAGCUUGACUGUGAGACAGACAUGUCGAGCAGGGACGAAAGUCGGGACUAGUGAUCCGGCACCGGCAUGUGGAAGCGGUGUCGCUCAACGGAUAAAAGGUACCCCGGGGAUAACAGGCUGAUCUUCCCCAAGAGUCCAUAUCGACGGGAUGGUUUGGCACCUCGAUGUCGGCUCGUCGCAUCCUGGGGCUGGAGUAGGUCCCAAGGGUUGGGCUGUUCGCCCAUUAAAGCGGCACGCGAGCUGGGUUUAGAACGUCGUGAGACAGUUCGGUCUCUAUCCGCCGCGCGCGUUAGAAACUUGAGGAAGGCUGUCCCUAGUACGAGAGGACCGGGACGGACGAACCUCUGGUGUGCCAGUUGUUCCGCCAGGAGCACUGCUGGUUGGCCACGUUCGGAAGGGAUAACCGCUGAAAGCAUCUAAGCGGGAAGCCUGUUCCAAGAUGAGGUUUCUCACCCCCUCGAGGGGGUAAGGCCCCCAACAGACCAUUGGGUUGAUAGGCCAGAACUGGAAGCGCGGUAACGUGUGGAGGUGACUGGUACUAAUAGGCCGAGGACUUACCAAC
rnacentral:rRNA from 1 species